rnacentral:rRNA from 1 species
UCAGGAUGAACGCUAGCUACAGGCUUAACACAUGCAAGUCGAGGGGAAACGAUAGAGAAAGCUUGCUUUUUCUAGGCGUCGACCGGCGCACGGGUGAGUAACGCGUAUCCAACCUGCCCAUCACUUGGGGAUAACCUUGCGAAAGUAAGACUAAUACCCAAUGAUAUCUCAAGAAGACAUCUGAAUGAGAUUAAAGAUUUAUCGGUGAUGGAUGGGGAUGCGUCUGAUUAGCUUGUUGGCGGGGUAACGGCCCACCAAGGCUACGAUUAGUAGGGGUUCUGAGAGGAAGGUCCCCCACAUUGGAACUGAGACACGGUCCAAACUCCUACGGGAGGCAGCAGUGAGGAAUAUUGGUCAAUGGGCGAGAGCCUGAACCAGCCAAGUAGCGUGCAGGAUGACGGCCCUAUGGGUUGUAAACUGCUUUUAUAAGGGAAUAAAGUGAGCCUCGUGAGGCUUUUUGCAUGUACCUUAUGAAUAAGGACCGGCUAAUUCCGUGCCAGCAGCCGCGGUAAUACGGAAGGUCCGGGCGUUAUCCGGAUUUAUUGGGUUUAAAGGGAGCGUAGGCCGGAGAUUAAGCGUGUUGUGAAAUGUAGAUGCUCAACAUCUGCACUGCAGCGCGAACUGGUUUCCUUGAGUACGCACAAAGUGGGCGGAAUUCGUGGUGUAGCGGUGAAAUGCUUAGAUAUCACGAAGAACUCCGAUUGCGAAGGCAGCUCACUGGAGCGCAACUGACGCUGAAGCUCGAAAGUGCGGGUAUCGAACAGGAUUAGAUACCCUGGUAGUCCGCACGGUAAACGAUGGAUGCCCGCUGUUGGUCUGAAUAGGUCAGCGGCCAAGCGAAAGCAUUAAGCAUCCCACCUGGGGAGUACGCCGGCAACGGUGAAACUCAAAUGAAUUGACGGAAGGG